rnacentral:rRNA from 1 species
GGACUACCCGGGUUUCUAAUCCUGUUUGAUCCCCACGCUUUCGUGCAUCAGCGUCAGUUACAGUUUCGUCAGCUGCCUUCGCAAUCGGUGUUCUGUGUCAUAUCUAUGCAUUUCACCGCUACAUGACACAUUCCGCCAACGGCAUCUGUACUCAAGCCCUACAGUAUCAAUGGCACGUCUGUCGUUAAGCGACAGGAUUUCACCACUGACUUAUAAGGCCGCCUACGCACCCUUUAAACCCAAUAAAUCCGGAUAACGCUCGCAUCCUUCGUAUUACCGCGGCUGCUGGCAC